UAUGGCUCAGGAUGAACGCUGGCGGCGUGCCUAACACAUGCAAGUCGAACGAAGCUUGACGGAUGAUUUCUUCGGAAUGAAACCUGAUAUGACUUAGUGGCGGACGGGUGAGUAACACGUGAGCAACCUGCCUUUCAGAGGGGGAUAACGGCUGGAAACGGUCGCUAAUACCGCAUGAUGUGUUCGGAUGGCAUCAUCUGAACAUCAAAGAUUUAUCGCUGAAAGAUGGGCUCGCGUCUGAUUAGAUAGUUGGUGGGGUAACGGCCUACCAAGUCUACGAUCAGUAGCCGGACUGAGAGGUUGAACGGCCACGUUGGGACUGAGAUACGGCCCAGACUCCUACGGGAGGCAGCAGUGGGGAAUAUUGCACAAUGGGGGAAACCCUGAUGCAGCAACGCCGCGUGAAGGAUGACGGUUUUCGGAUUGUAAACUUCUUUUCUUAGUGACGAAGACAGUGACGGUAGCUAAGGAAUAAGCAUCGGCUAACUACGUGCCAGCAGCCGCGGUAAUACGUAGGAUGCAAGCGUUAUCCGGAUUUACUGGGUGUAAAGGGAGCGCAGGCGGGACUGCAAGUUGGAUGUGAAAUACCGUGGCUUAACCACGGAACUGCAUCCAAAACUGUAGUUCUUGAGUGAAGUAGAGGCAAGCGGAAUUCCGAGUGUAGCGGUGAAAUGCGUAGAUAUUCGGAGGAACGCCAGUGGCGAAGGCGGCUUGCUGGGCUUUAACUGACGCUGAGGCUCGAAAGUGUGGGGAGCAAACAGGAUUAGAUACCCUGGUAGUCCACACUGUAAACGAUGAUAGCUAGGUGUGGGGGGUCUGACCCCUUCCGUGCCGGAGUUAACGCAUUAAGCUAUCCACCUGGGGAGUACGACCGCAAGGUUGCAACUCAAAGGAAUUGACGGA
rnacentral:rRNA from 1 species